rnacentral:rRNA from 1 species
CAGUCGUACCGGCGGAUAAUCAGCCUUUCGGGUGCGAUUCUGUGGGGCGUGAAGAGUUUAACCGCCUUCAUGCCUGCAUAUUCGUGUACUUUUGGGUGUACUUGCCUGUGUGGUUAGUU